UACAGAGGUCUCAAGCGUUGUUCGGAUUCAUUGGGCGUAAAGGGUGCGUAGGCGGCGCGGUAAGUCGGGUGUGAAAUCUCGGAGCUUAACUCCGAAACUGCAUUCGAUACUGCCGUGCUAGAGGACUGGAGAGGAGACUGGAAUUUACGGUGUAGCGGUGAAAUGCGUAGAUAUCGUAAGGAAGACCAGUGGCGAAGGCGGGGUCUCUGGACAGUUCCUGACGUGAGGCACGAAGGCCAGGGGAGCAAACGGG
rnacentral:rRNA from 1 species